rnacentral:sRNA from 1 species
AAAAAAACAACUAGAAGUCUAUAAUUGUCUUUUUAGUAGAAACCUAAAGCUAUUUCAGUUUGUUAAAUUCUAACAACCAGAAACUAAUUAAAACCUUGAAAGCUAAAAACAAAAAUAUAUAUAUAAGCUCUAAAAAAUCUCAACCCAUUCAAGAUUCUAAAUCAAACAUGGCUUCCUCAUCUCUCAAAUGUUUUUCUUUUAUCGUUGUUCUUACAACUUUCUUUGCAAUCUCAUUGAAGCCAUGUUAUUGCCACAAUAAAACCCACUGGAACACCGCCGGCAUCACGUGGUAUGGCGACCGAGAAGGUCCUGGCACCACAGGUAUUAAUCAAACCUUUAAUUGUUCCAAUACACUUAUAAAACUCGAAAACAUUUUCCCAUAUUUACCUAUAUAUGCACGGUUCGUAAAAUAUGUACACAGGAGGAGCUUGUCCAAGUCGGUGAUGCCAUACUUCCUCUGUUGCUGCACACUGACGGUUUGAAUAAAGAGCCACAAACUCUUGAUUCUCCAACACAUAGAGCCCAUUUCUACGAGGACCCGUGGUUACCACUUUCUGUGUUUGUAAAUCGAUUAUGCAAACCUUAUUAGCAUCAAAGUAAACACCGCAAGGAUAGUCAUCACACAACUUUGACACAGAGAGAAGAGAUUUUUGUAUAUUUGGAACAACCAAGACUUCAUUUAAAGGAAUCUUACCAUUUGAGGAUUUGAUAGUGGUAGAUCCAGUGUGAGUAAUCGGGAGAUAAGUGCCAUCGCCAACCAAGACAGCAUCAUCCCCUUCGUACUCUGUUGCAGACUGAAGUCCAUUGGUCGAUGAUGUUACAUGAGCCGUCGCAGCUGAGUCGGGAUGCCAUUCCUUGCCUGUAUCAUCUGAGACCCGGAGAGUAGAAAAAGCUUGUAUUUCAGCCUGGUAAUUGUUAUCAAACCGAUUGUAACACUUGAGAGCAGUGUGACCAGUGCGACCACAUAUCUGACACACCGGUCUUGGACCUGAAACUUGUGGGGAGGAUUGAUGUUGGGAAAACCCUCGUCCACGAGUUGAGUAGCCUCCUCUGCCUUUAUUUUGACCAGAACGUCCUCUUCCUUUUUGAUUGGGGUUGUAUUGAGGAGAUCCAGACUCAGAUCUUUCAAUGUUGAAGGCAAGGUGAGGAGUAACAGAUGCCGCUUCUUCAUAUGAUUGUAGCUUACUGUCAAAGCCUUGAACUUCUGAGACAACAUCAUUGAAAGUUGGAGUCGGAAGCUUGCUGAGAGAGCUUUGAAUCACCGUGGUGAUGGGGUCAUAGUCACGACCAAGACCGUUAAGAAAACCAAAAAUUUUCAUUGAUUCAUCGACUGGCUUGCCAAUGGAGCUGAGAGCGUCGCAGAUGGUCUUGAACUCUCGGCAGUAGACAGAGAAAGGCUUUUCCUUUUUGGAGAGAAGCUGGAGAUUCCGACGAAGUGAGAACUCACGAGCAACACUGCUUUUGUUGAAGUUUUCAGCUAGAGACACCCAAAUUUGACGAGAGGUGCUUAGAUUGUGAACAUGACCAAGGACUUCUUCAGACAACGUGCCAAAGAGCCAUGACCGAACUAACUGAUCGGUACAGAACCAAGAUUCAUACAGAGGAUUGGGUUCCUCGGAGGUGACUUCGCCAUUGACGACAAGGCGAGACUGAGAUGGUGCAUUGACGGCGCCAUUAACAAAACCUAUGAGUUUUUGACUCGAUAGGAGAGACUCGAAUUGAGUUUUCCACAAGAGGUAGUUACUGUCUGUGAGUUUGAGAGUAACAGAACUUGUAACAUGAACAUUAUCUGGAAAAGGGUAUGAGGUCGCCAUUUGAAAUACCUGUUAAGGCUACAAAGGCUCUGAUACCAUGAAACGAUUAGAGAAAGUUUCAAGCUUUUGGUAAAAAAUCGUUUCUUUCUCAAUAAUUACAUUAGGGUUUUACACUACUCUUUUAUAGACAUUGUAGAAGGAGGUAGAUAUGGAACAGUCUAGAAUAUGGCAGAUGCUGUGUAGCUGGCUAUGGUGAGUCAUCAGGCAAAACGCCCCUCCUCUGUACGAUCGUUGCUCUGUUUUGAGCUGGAGUCUAUUUUGUCUUCUUCUAUUUGACUGGGCUGAGAUGGGCCUUUUGUUGUUGUUGGGCCGGUUACUUGUUUGUUGCUUACACUCCCCCUCAAACUUGGAGUGGGUGAACCAGACACACCAAGUUUGCUCCUGAGAUCAACAAAUGCUCGGCGUGGAAGUGACUUUGUAAACACGUCAGCUAAUUGAAAGGUAGCUGAAAUGUGUUGUGUUUCGAUCAGACCGAGUGCGACCUGCUCCCUGAUGUAGUGAUAAUCGGUAUCAAAAUGUUUUGAACGAUUGUGGAGAGCCGGAUUUGCAGAUAGGUACACUGCGGAGAGGUUAUCACAGUAAACUUGUGUAGGAAGAUAUUGGGGAAUGCCGAGAUCUCGCAGUAAGAAAGAGAUCCAAGUAAUUUCUCGUGCUGCAUAGGUUAGAGCUCUGUAUUCUGCUUCGGUAGAGGAAUUAGACACUGUAGGUUGUCGUUUUGUCGACCAAGAGAUCAAGUUGGAGCCUAACAAGAUGCAGAAUCCAGUAGUAGACCUUCUAGUAUUCUUGCAGCCCGCAUGAUCGCUAUCACUGUAGGCAGAAAGAGUAAGAGUAGAGUUCCUUUUUAUUGGCAAACCCAUUCCAAUUGUCCCUUUGAUGUACCGUAGUAUCCGUUUGAGCAGUCCGAAGUCAGAGGUUGUAGGGGAGUGCAUUCUCUGACAAAUAAAAUUGACAGCAAACUGAAUGUCUGGACGUGUGAUGGUGAGAUACUGCAGUUUUCCCGCAAGGCUUCGAAAAUAGGUUGGUUCUGCAAAUAGCUCAGAAUUGAGGUUGUCCAAUUGUUGUGGUAGAGGAGUUGGCAUGGGGUUGCAAUCACUCAUUCCUGCCUGUUGUAAAAUGUCUGUCGCAUAAGCCGUCUGAUGUAGAAAGAGACCAUUAGCAUAAUCUUCAAUUUGAAUACCCAAGAAAUAGCGAGGUGGACCAAGAUCCUUCAUAGAAAACCGAUUCUUGAGAGCUUGUAGAAGAUCUUCUAAGAGAGAUUGAUCACUGCCAGUCAACAAAAUGUCGUCAACAUAUAACAGUAAAUAGAGUAUUUUUCCAUCUUGAUGACACACAAAUAAUGAGGGGUCCGAUUUACUGCAGACAAAUCCAUAAUCAAGAAGAAAGUUGCUGAAAGUAUCAAACCAUGCCCGUGGCGCUUGUUUCAAACCGUAGAGGGCUUUCGUGAGACGACAGACAUGAGUGGGUUUCUGAGGAUCAAUAAAACCUGAGGGUUGGUACAUGAAGACCGGUUCUUGCAGCUCACCGUGUAAGAAGGCAUUGGAGACAUCAAGCUGCUUAAUAGGCCAACCUUUUGAUGUUGAGACAUCAAGAACAAGACGAAUUGUUGCUGUCCGAACCACAGGACUGAACGUUUCUAGAUAGUCCACCCCUUCCUCUUGAUCGAAGCCCUUAGCCACUAGACGAGCUUUCAGUUUAUCGAUUGAGCCAUCCGGGUGAAGUUUGGUUUUAAAAACCCACUUGGAGCUUAGAAUAUUCAUAUCAUCAGUUGGAGGAACCAACGACCAUGUAUGCAACAUAUGGACCCGGUUAAUCUCCUCAUGUACUGCUUCAUUCCAACCAGGAUGCUUCAUAGCGGAUGCAAGGGUUUUUGGUUCAGCAGUAUUCAUUCGAGAGGUGAUGAGAGCAUACCUCGUGUUUGGCU